ACGCUCGACACCUACGGGGGGCAGCAGUGGGGAAUAUUGCACAAUGGAGGAAACUCUGAUGCAGCGACGCCGCGUGAGGGAAGAAGGUCUUCGGAUUGUAAACCUCUGUUGUCAGGGACGAUGAUGACGGUACCUGACGAGGAAGCCACGGCUAACUACGUGCCAGCAGCCGCGGUAAUCUGAGGCGGGCUGGCAAGGC
rnacentral:rRNA from 1 species